rnacentral:rRNA from 1 species
UGCGUAGGCGGUUCUCUAAGUCGGAUGUGAAAACUCUGGGCUCAACCCAGAGCCUGCAUCCGAAACUGGAGGACUAGGGUUCUGGAGGGGAAAGCGGAAUUCCUGGUGUAGCGGUGAAAUGCGUAGAUAUCAGGAGGAACACCGGUGGCGAAGGCGGCUUUCUGGACAGAUACCGACGCUGAGGCACGAAAGCUAGGGGAGCAAACA